CCUACGGGGGGCUGCAGUGGGGAAUAUUGGAUAAUGGGGGCAACCCUGAUCCAGCCAUGCCGCGUGUGUGAAGAAGGCCCUCGGGUUGUAAAGCACUUUCAGUGAGGAAGAACGCCUGGUGGUUAAUACCCAUCAGGAAAGACAUCACUCACAGAAGAAGCACCGGCUAACUCCGUGCCAGCAGCCGCGGUAAUACGGAGGGUGCGAGCGUUAAUCGGAAUUACUGGGCGUAAAGCGCGCGUAGGUGGCUUGAUAAGCCGGUUGUGAAAGCCCCGGGCUCAACCUGGGAACGGCAUCCGGAACUGUCAAGCUAGAGUGCAGGAGAGGAAGGUAGAAUUCCCGGUGUAGCGGUGAAAUGCGUAGAGAUCGGGAGGAAUACCAGUGGCGAAGGCGGCCUUCUGGACUGACACUGACACUGAGGUGCGAAAGCGUGGGUAGCAAACAGGAUUAGAUACCCGUGUAGUC
rnacentral:rRNA from 1 species